GAACUGCGAUAAGUAAUGUGAAUUGCAGAAUUCAGUGAAUCAUCGAGUCUUUGAACGCACAUUGCGCCCCCUGGCAUUCCGGGGGGCAUGCCUGUCCGAGCGUCAUUGCUGCCCUUCAAGCCCGGCUUGUGUGUUGGGUCGUCGUCCCCCCCGGGGGACGGACCCGAAAGGCAGCGGCGGCACCGUGUCCGGUCCUCGAGCGUAUGGGGCUUUGUCACCCGCUCGAUUAGGCCCGGCCGGGCGCCCGCCGGCGUCAAACCCCAAUCUUUCUAAGGUUGACCUCGGAUCAGGUAGGGAUACCCGCUGAACUUAAGC
rnacentral:misc_RNA from 1 species